GCGGGGGUUGCCAAGCUUGGCCAACGGCGCAGGUCUCAUGACCCUGUCCUUUAGAGGUUCGUGGGUUCAAAUCCCACCCCCCGCA
rnacentral:tRNA from 1 species